CUCAGAAACUUAAAGGAAGUUGACGGGGCCCGGCACAAGCGGUGGAGUAUGUGGUUUAAUUCGAUGCAACGCGAAGAACCUUACCUGGUCUUGACAUCCCGGAGACCCUUAGGAAACUAGGGGGUGCUUCCAUCUGGAAGAAUCUGGAGACAGGUGCUGCAUGGCUGUCGUCAGCUCGUGUCGUGAGAUGUUGGGUUAAGUCCCGCAACGAGCGCAACCCUUGCCUUUAGUUGCCAGCAGUUCGGCUGGGCACUCUAAAGGGACUGCCGGUGUUAAACCGGAGGAAGGUGGGGAUGACGUCAAGUCCUCAUGGCCUUUAUGACCAGGGCUACACACGUACUACAAUGGCCGAUACAAAGGGCAGCGACACUGCGAGGUGAAGCCAAUCCCGUAAAAUCGGUCUCAGUCCGGAUUGGAGUCUGCAACUCGACUCCAUGAAGUUGGAAUCGCUAGUAAUCGUGGAUCAGCAUGCCACGGUGAAUACGUUCCCGGGCCUU
rnacentral:rRNA from 1 species